UACGGAAGGCAGCAGUGGGGAAUAUUGCACAAUGGGCGAAAGCCUGAUGCAGCUAUGCCGCGUGUAUGAAGAAGGCCUUAGGGUUGUAAAGUACUUUCAUCGGGGAGGAAAAAACAAAACUAAUAAUUUUAUUUCUUGACGUUACCCGAAAAAGAAGCACCGGCUAACUCCGUGCCAGCAGCCGCGGUAAUACGGAGGGUGCUAGCGUUAAUCAGAAUUACUGGGCGUAAAGAGCACGUAGGUGGUUUUUUAAGUCAGAUGUGAAAUCCCUGGGCUUAACCUAGGAACUGCAUUUUGAAACUGAAAUACUAGAGUAUCGUAGAGGGAGGUAGAAUUCUAGGUGUAGCGGUGAAAUGCGUAGAUAUCUGGAGGAAUACCUGUGGCGAAAGCGGCCUCCUAAACGAAUACUGACACUGAGGUGCGAAAGCGUGGGGAGCAAACGAGGGAUUUAGAUACCCGU
rnacentral:rRNA from 1 species